CACAACCGCUAAUACGUUACUCAGCGUGUCGCUUUCUGCUCGGCUCCUCACUUCCUCACUAGCCAGUUAACACAGAGUGAAUAACUGUGGACGGUUGGUCUUGCGGUGAGACCAGGACAGACUCAACUGUACGGACCAAAAUGCCAAAGCUGUGAUCUACAAGCAACUAUAAAGUGGUAGCACAGACUGGUGAGGGCAAAGAGGAUCAAGUGGAGAGCUUGUUCUCCGAAUCACAGUUUCCCGACAGUCCAUUCGCCUGUUAUCAGAUGCUCCUCUAAUCCAUCAAUCUGAUGUGAUCAACUCUGACCCAUGACUCAAACUCAACAAACUGCCAAACUCAGAGAGGGGACAAAGACUGAUAACAAAGCUUGACGUCACCAGAAGCAGCAGCCACUUUCUCCAUGACAUCCAGCGCUCGGCCCAGAUAUCCAUGACCCCAG